rnacentral:tRNA from 1 species
GCUGAUGUGGCUCAGUGGUAGAGCAGCGCACUCGUAAUGCGCAGGUCGCCGGUUCAAAUCCGGCCAUCAGCU